AAAAAAAAAGAUAAUUUUUUUCACUUAAUUUUUCGAAAACUUUCUUGCUGUAGUAUUUCGAGUGAUAAAUUUUGGGACAUUCUGUAUAUAUUCAGGCGCUGAAGAGAAAGAAAGCGAAGAUUUUAAAUGUAAAAAAAGUGCAAGCAACACGAACAGUCAUCUCGCGUCAACAAUUCAGCGGGUUAAAGAAGAAUUGGGUACAAUUUUUAAGUACAUCACGGGCGUCACUUCCCACGCUAAUUUUCGCGCGUAAACAACAGUUCUCUCGCCCUGUCGCGGCGAACCGUUACGCGGAUUCGCCGAUUAUAAUAACAGUACUCCGAUAUAGGCCGCCGGUCGGCCGCCACGAAUCGAAUUCCAGAUCCCCCGGAAGUAUAACGUGACUCGCGACGGCCAGAUGUUUUCCCAGGUUUCCUUCCUGUUACGCGCCGAUCGACGGUGCUGUCAGAAAAAUCCAACUAAAGUUAAUCUACAUACAUCGGUGGAAAUGAACAUAAAUCGUAAGUCUAUUCAUGUUGCUUGAAACCCCCAAAAAUGUUUACACUUCAAACGAGAUAAGUAUGAAUGCUUUCUUAAUAAGGAGACAUAAAUCUACACGAAUUAACACACUCAAGCAUUGCAAUUUGCGGGGGUGGAAAAAAAUCCGAUCGCGCGUGUAAAUCAGCUCGCUCGCGGAUAAAGAAUAUAAAGAUGCGAGACGAGUACACGGCAGCGGGGAACGCGGGGAUCGCGAGAACGAGAACCGGAAUUUUUCGCUGGAGCGAAAGCGCACGGAUGACGGAAUUCGCCAAUUUACCUUGGCGAUACGCGGCACGGGAGAAAACCUGGAAAGACGCUGGAAGAACCUAGAUGAAAAAGGAGAGAAAGGGGAAGGAAGAGGAGAAUGGACGGGCGGAUCCGGGUUGAUCUCGUGAUCGGGCAUACGACUGAAGGAGGAACGCCGACGAUGACGACGACGACGGCGAUGUUUUGCUGGCGUGGACAACGCUUCCUUCGACGCGAAGAAGAGAGCUCUCGCCGUGGGACGACGAGAUGAGUGUCCCUCUGUCUCGAGGCCACGCAGUGCGAGACGACGAUCGCGACGUCGCGGCUUCCCGCAUCACACACACGCGAAGAGAUCUCUCUCCAUCUCUCUCUUUCUCUCUCUCUCUCUCUCUCUCUCUUCUUCGGGGCCGAACGAUUGGACCCAAACAAGCGAGAACGACACUCGAGGAAAACACUCACGGCGGCCACGAAAUGAAACGAAACGAAAU